rnacentral:lncRNA from 1 species
GCAGCUAAUUACUAUUGGUUUGGUGGUUGGCAUUCUUGAUGGGUGUUUUUGACUGAAGUAGCUAAAUUGGGAAACGAUAUUGGCUAUUUCGUUACAGCAGCUGAAUUAAAAUGCAGUACAGUGUUGGCCGGCAUGAAGCGGUGAACAGUGCAUUAUGUUAGAUUAAUAAAAUUCAAGGGUUGAAUGGAUUAUUGAUGAGGACUAAAGAAUUAAGCAAGCUAGUGAAGCGGAAUUGUUGCAGCAUGAAUAUUAUACAUAACCAGC